rnacentral:rRNA from 1 species
UGCCAGCCUCCUCGGUAAUACGUCGUUCCCGAGCGUGGUCCGGAUUUAUUGGGCGUAAAGCGAGUGCAGGCGGUUAGAUAAGUCUGAAGUUAAAGGCUGUGGCUUAACCAUAGUACGCUUUGGAAACUGUUUAACUUGAGUGCAAGAGGGGAGAGUGGAAUUCCGUGUGUAGCGGUGAAAUGCGUAGAUAUAUGGAGGAACACCGGUGGCGAAAGCGGCUCUCUGGCUUGUAACUGACGCUGAGGCUCGAAAGCGUGGGGAGCAAACAGGAUUAGAUA